rnacentral:rRNA from 1 species
AUUGAACGCUGGCGGCAGGCCUAACACAUGCAAGUCGAGCGAGCGGCGGACGGGUGAGAAAUGUCUGGGAAACUGCCCGCUGGAGGGGGAUAACUACUGGAACCGGUAGCUAAUACCGCACACCAUCAGAUGUGCACAGAUGGGCUUAGCUAGUAGGUGGGGUAACGGCUCACCUAGGCGACGAUCCCUAGCUGGUCUGCCAGGUUGACCAGCCACACUGGUAAGGAGACACGGUCCAGACUCCUACGAGAGGCAGCAGUGGGGAAUAUUGCACAAUGGGCGCAAGCCUGAUGCAGGCAUGCCGCGUGUGUGAAGAAGGCCUUCGGGUUGUAAAGCACUUUCAGCGGGGAGGCGGUACCCGCAGAAGAAGCACCGGCUAACUCCGUGCCAGCAGCCGCGGUAAUUC